rnacentral:misc_RNA from 1 species
AUGUUUAGAAAAAAGAAAUGGACGUCGUUGUGUCCCUAUACAAUUCCUAGCUUAAAGGCUUCCUUUUUCAGUUGAAAGUAGAUAUUGAAAUUUCUGGUGGCAUCAAAAGUUUCAAAGCAAUAAACACUGGCCGUUUCUUUCUGUCAUUUAAGGUUACAUUUAGCUGCAGAGGAAAAAGAAGAAGGUUCUUGAUUUAGAGAGAGAUUGGAUGCUUUUCUUCUGCCUUUUUAUGUGUCAAGCAGGAACUCGGCAGAGAGAGAGAAGCAAGGUCCACUA